CCUACGGGUGGCAGCAGUGAGGAAUAUUGGUCAAUGGACGCAAGUCUGAACCAGCCAUGCCGCGUGCAGGAAGACGGCUCUAUGAGUUGUAAACUGCUUUUGUACGAGGGUAAACGCAGAUACGCGUAUCUGUCUGAAAGUAUCGUACGAAUAAGGCACGGCUAACUCCGUGCCAGCAGCCGCGGUAAUACGGAGGAUUCAAGCGUUAUCCGGAUUUAAUGGGUUUAAAGGGUGCGUUGGCGGUCGGAUAAGUUAGAGGUGAAAUCCGGAGGCUCAACUUCGGAAUUGCCUCUGAUACUGUCCGGCUAGAGAGUAGGUGCGGUAGGCGGAAUGUAUGGUGUAGCGGUGAAAUGCUUAGAGAUCAUACAGAACCCCGAUUGCGAAGGCAGCUUACCAGGCUACUUCUGACGUUGAGGCACGAAAGCGUGGGGAGCAAACAGGAUUAGAUACCCCAGUAGUC
rnacentral:rRNA from 1 species